rnacentral:lncRNA from 1 species
CAACAGGUGAGUGCAUUAAACAAACUGUGGUCAAGCCAUACCAUAGAAUAUUACUUAGCCACAAAAAUGAACUAUUGAUACACACAACUACUUGGUCCAGUCUCUAGAGAAUUAUGCUGAAUGAAAAAAGGCAAUCUGAAAAAGUCACAUAGUGUAUGAUUGAAGUUAUAGAACAUUCUCAAAAUAGAAACAUAGAAACGGAGAAGAGAUUAGCAUUUGCCGGGGGUUAAGGGUAGGGGUUAGCAUAGGUAGGAAGUGGGUAUGGCUACGUAAGGGCAACAUGAGGGAUUCUGGUCUUGGAAAUGUUCUGUAUCUUGACUAUAAAAAUCUACAUCCUAGUUUGCUAUUGUACAAAAGUUUUGCAGGAUGUUGCUAUUGGGGUAACUGGGUAGAGAGUACAGGAGAUCUCUGCAUUAUUCCUUACAACUGCAUAUGAAUCUACAAUUUUCUCAAAAUAGAAAAUGCAAUUUUAAAAAAAGGCUUUUGAUUUCAGAGAGCCAGCAGUGGACUUGGAGAGAUUGUUACUCUUCCUACAGGGGAGUUCUAAAAGGCUUCACCUGUUUGGAAAGGAGCUGUUAGCUGGUCGGGGGAAUGUCUCUAACUUAACCUGUGUCACUUUGGAAACAUUUCUUUUCCUUAAUUUUUAAUAUGGGCAACUAAUUCAUU